rnacentral:lncRNA from 1 species
GAGGGGAAAAAAAGGACGAAACACACCAUUGUUGUCCUAAUUAUGAGCUUGAAAAUCCGGGUCUGGAAGCAGCCGGGCGACGCAAAGCGGUGAUGCCACCAAGCCUUUCCCGAUGGCUCUGCGGCGGUAUUCUGCUGCCGCGCCGCAGUGGAGGUGACGGAAUCAGCUGUCGGCAGCAGAACGACAGUUGCUCGUUUCUGCACAGCUCGGAGCGUCUGUGUUCUCUGCUUGUUUGGCCGAUUAGUGCAUGGUGCUGUGCUGCUCCGGAUAUGUUGCCGGGCUCCUUGGGGCCCGAGGGUGAUGCGCAUAGCGUAAAAUGGACCUCCAUUCUGCCCACCUAUCUCUCCCAAGAAGGGGCCACAGCCUCCCAGUGGAAAAUCCCAGUCCCCGAGCGCAACGCGAGGAAAGGAGGGGGGAUUAGGUGUUCCGCCUGAAAACCACGCCAUCAUUUUGAUUUGAGAGCCGAGGACCAUGCACAGUAAAUUAAACGUGGGAUGUGGCUGGGAAGUGCAUGAGGUGGAAGUUCCUUACUGUAGGUAAAGACAAAAGCCUUUUUUUCAAACAGAAGUAAAGCUGGCAUAAUGCCCUAUAGACAUAAUGACAUGAUUGAUUUAAAGUUUCUCCCCCGUUCUUCUCUUCUCUUUUUCAUUUCCAGACCACACAUACAGCAGCACAAAACAACAGAGUGAAAGCAAAGCAGCUGAAGCACAUUUACUCCAUUGUAAGUCAUAAUUGAUAUUUUGCAUAGGUGAAGAUUAAACUCUGUCUGCAUGAAUUGAGCGCUAUUGUCCUGACAAACAUCUUUAUUUUCUUUAAGAUAAAUAAAGAGACGCCUCAUUGACUUAUUUAAAGAUUU